rnacentral:misc_RNA from 1 species
GAUGAAGAACGCAGCGAAAUGCGAUACUUGGUGUGAAUUGCAGAAUCCCGUGAACCAUCGAGUCUUUGAACGCAAGUUGCGCCUCAAGCCAUUAGGUUGAGGGCACGUCUGCCUGGGCGUCACAUAUCGUUGCCUGAUGCCAGCUUCCUCGUGAUGGGUGACUGUGCAGGGCGAAUGAUGGCUUCCCGUGAGCAUUGUUGCCUCAUGGUUGGUUGAAAAUUGAGUCCUUGGUAGGGAGCGCCGUGAUAGAUGGUGGUUGAGUGACGAACGAGACCCAAUCAUGUGAGACCCCUACCGAAUUUGGCCUUCAUGACCCACAUGCGUCUUUGGAACGCUCAUGACGAGACCUCAGGUCAGGCGGGGCUACCCGCUGAGUUUAAGCAUAUCAAUAAGCGGAGGA